ensembl:lncRNA
AUGUCGGAAAUCAUCUUGGAAAACAAACCUAAGCUCAUCAAAUGGCUUAGUUUGGAUUAUAAAUUUGUUUUGCAACAUGUUCAAGCUAAAAAACUUAUAACACAGUCGCACUAUGAUGACUUGAUGGCCAUGAAGGCGAGCGACAGUAUCAUCAAACUUUUGGACAUCAUCCGUAGAAGAGGAGAAAAUGUGUGUCGAGAUUUUCUGGAUUUGCUAAAAGAUGAUGAUGUGAAUGAAAUAUCGCCGGAGCUAAGAGACUGGGUCAAAACAGUUGACUCAGAAGACCAGAAAACAGAAAAAUACAAAGGAAGAGCAAGUGUUAACAGACCUAAACAAGAAACUGCCAACAUGACAGGACAAUCACGCAUCCAAGUAAACAGCCAAAUCUCUGCAUCAGAUGGCAGCAGUGUAAUUUCGCCUACCAUAAUUGGUGGAAAUCUAGGGUCCUUUAUAAUGAAUACGACGGUUGCACCCUCUGGCAGAUCAGAUGUGCAGACAAAUUGUAAGUGUAAUAAAUGUACAUUGCCUAAAACAAACAAACAAAGAAACAAUAAAUAAAUAUAUUAAUUAAUUAAAUAAUGAAAAAAGGUCUAUGAACAACAUUGCCUGAAAAAAAACAUACAGUUAAAAAAACCUGUACAUUUUAUGUUUGGUUAUUAAAAUAUCAAUAAUCAAAGACCAUCCAAAUGGGCUUUCUCAUCUGUUAAUCCAAUUAAUCAAGUAAAAUACUUUAUCAGCAUUGCAAAAGGUACAAUCUAAUUUAGAAUGGCAACUCUCAUAUAUAUGUCACAUUUUAAUGUAUAUAAAUAAUACAUAAAGCCACUGAAGGCACAUUGUACACUGUAUAAGAUAACUUGUUGUAGUGCAUUGAUUUAAUCAAGAUCUAAAAUCUGGCCUUGUAUAGCCCUGUUAUCACUUUCUCUUCCUUUGUAUUUUCAAUAAUCUUUUUCCCCAAAUAUUUCAGACCAAGAAACCUGAUAGAGACUGUGAACACAGGCCAGUACAAGGUAUAGAGGAAGUUUAUUUCUUUCUAUUCUGUAUACAUAUUUUUCUUUCCAAUAUUUUAUGAUUUAUUUUUUCUUUUUGUAUUCCCAGAUUAUCAGAAGUUUCUAAAAUAAAACACCAGUCUGCUGGUUCA